GCCGUUAUAGCACAGUGGUAGUGCACUUCAUUGGUAAUGAAGAGGUCGCAGGUUCAAUUCCUGCUAACGGCA
rnacentral:tRNA from 1 species